GGCUUACAUUCAGCUGGUGCACAAUAGAAUCAAUUCAAACUGAAAAGUGAAAAACGAGGAGAUAACUGCGGCCCAUGGGACUCGUGGGAUAGACUAAUGGGCUUCUGUAGGCCCAAUCGGUAGCGCCGCGGUCGCGCCAUUGCCCGCGGCCACAACCGUCCUCGGCCGCGCCAACAUCGGUUCCGCUCGGCCCCUCUUCGUCGUCAUUGGCUGGGGAGAAAUCAGACUACACGUCGAAGGAUCCUUCCCGAGCUCGCCGCCGCCGCCGUGAAAUCGGCUCCUCACAGCUCAGGUCACCGAGGGAGCUGCACAUCCUCGCCCAUGUCCAGAUAUAAGGACAAGCCUCCCGCAGUUCGGGUGUAUAGAGCCUGUGACGAAUCGAGGUAUCUGAUCCCGAGGAGUGUCUUCAGUGGAUGGGAGUUCAUCACAGCAGAAUCUUAGUCAGAAGAGGGAUUUGGGUGGAUCACAGCCUAUUGCUAAUGCCUCAAGUUCCAUAGUUACGAGGGUUUCCUCUGAUCAGGAUUACUUUGCAUCACAAUUGAUGAACCAUACUGUUCGUUUGCUAAGAGAAAAGCUUGAUAAGAUUCAAUCAAGUGGUGAGCAUCUUCGAGCUGCUGGACCUGCUGUUGAGGAAGCGCAUCAGGACAAUCGAAGAAAAAUCUGAGACAAGUACACUGGGACACAAUCAGUUACCAUUAAUCGGCACACGGGGCAGACGCUGACUAAUCCAUCGCAAUUUUUACACAAGCACAAAUGCCUGCAAGGCAUCAACAGGACGGAAACCUCAUAAAGCUUGCAGGCUUUGCAGACCAUAUGUUCCUUGAAGCCUCGGUCAGAGCUCAUGGUGUUGUUAUGAAGGUUGAUGUAUGAAGCUGCAUCAUCAACUUCACUGUCUCCAAACCCUUCCUUUCCCUGAUCAGCUCCCAUCGAGAUCGCCUGUUGAAGAUUGGUCUUGAGGACAUUAGCUACUGACUCAUUGUACUUAGCUCGGUAUUGCCAGUUUUGAACUUCCAUGGCAACCUGCUUUAUUCUCUCCCCGAGCUCUCGGUUCCUCCGAUUCAUGUUCUCUAUCUCCAUGUCUUUUUCAUGUAGCUUCUUGUUGACUUC